rnacentral:rRNA from 1 species
GACGAACGCUGGCGGCGUGCUUAACACAUGCAAGUCGAACGGAAAGGCCCUGCUUUUGUGGGGUGCUCGAGUGGCGAACGGGUGAGUAACACGUGAGUAACCUGCCCUUGACUUUGGGAUAACUUCAGGAAACUGGGGCUAAUACCGGAUAGGAGCUCCUGCUGCAUGGUGGGGGUUGGAAAGUUUCGGCGGUUGGGGAUGGACUCGCGGCUUAUCAGCUUGUUGGUGGGGUAGUGGCUUACCAAGGCUUUGACGGGUAGCCGGCCUGAGAGGGUGACCGGCCACAUUGGGACUGAGAUACGGCCCAGACUCCUACGGGAGGCAGCAGUGGGGAAUAUUGCACAAUGGGCGGAAGCCUGAUGCAGCAACGCCGCGUGCGGGAUGAAGGCCCUCGGGUUGUAAACCGCUUUCGCCUGUGACGAAGCGUGAGUGACGGUAAUGGGUAAAGAAGCACCGGCUAACUACGUG